CAGCUCCAAUAGCGUAUAUUAAAGUUGUUGCGGUUAAAAAGCUCGUAGUUGGAUCUCGGCAGGUAGGGGGCGGUUCGUUUCUUCGUUUCUGGCGGCACUGCCCCAUUUACCUGUGUUUUUGACGGAGGUCUCAUGGUACUCUUUACCGAGUGUCCUGAUACGCCGUCAGGUUUACUUUGAAAAAAUUAGAGUGCUCAACACAGGCUACAAGCUUCAAUAUUUGUGCAUGGAAUAAUGGAAUAGGAAGUCGUUUCUAUUUUUUGUUGGUUUUAUGAAAUUGACUUAAUGAUUUAUAGGGACAGCCGGGGGCAUUAGUAUUCAGACGACAGAGGUGAAAUUCUUGGACCGUUUGAAGACUAACUACUGCGAAAGCAUUUGCCAAGAGUGUUUUCAUUAAUCAAGAACGAAAGUUAGAGGUUCGAAGGCGAUCAGAUACCGCCCUAGUUCUAACCAUAAACGAUGCUGACUAGCGAUCCGUAGCUGUUUUCUAUGUAGGCUCUACGGGAAGCUUCCGGGAAACCAAACUUUUUGAGUUCCGGGGGAAGUAUGGUUGCAAAGCUGAAACUUAAAGGAAUUGACGGAAGGGCACCACCAGGAGUGGAGCCUGCGGCUUAAUUUGACUCAACACGGGAAAUCUCACCAGGCCCGGACACUGGAAGGAUUGACAGAUUGAGAGCUCUUUCUCGAUUCAGUGGGUGGUGGUGCAUGGCCGUUCUUAGUUGGUGGAGUGAUUUGUCUGGUUAAUUCAGAUAACGAACGAGACCCUGUCCUGCUAAAUAGGUUUGCCGUCUGUUUUGCGGUAACAUUCUUCUUAGAGGGACUGGCGGCUUCUAGCCGCACGAGAUUGAGCAAUAACAAGGUCUGUGAUGCCCUUAGAUGUUCUGGGCUGCACACGCGCUACACUGAAUGGAUCAGC
rnacentral:rRNA from 1 species